UACGUAGGGCGCAAGCGUUGUCCGGAAUCAUUGGGCGUAAAGCGCGCGUAGGUGGCUUCGUAAGUCCGUUGUGAAAGUCAAAGGCUCAACCUUUGAAAGCCGAUGGAUACUGCGGAGCUAGAGUACGGAAGAGGCGAGUGGAAUUCCCGGUGUAGCGGUGAAAUGCGCAGAUAUCGGGAAGAACACCCGUGGCUAAGGCGGCUCUCUAGGACGGUACUGACGCUGAGACGCGAAAGCGUGGGGAGCGAACAGG
rnacentral:rRNA from 1 species